CCUACGGGUGGCAGCAGUGGGGAAUAUUGCACAAUGGGGGAAACCCUGAUGCAGCGACGCCGCGUGAAGGAAGAAGGAUCUCGGUGUGUAAACUUCUAUCAGCAGGGAAGAAAAUGACGGUACCUGACUAAGAAACUCCGGCUAACUACGUGACAGCAGCCGCGGGAAUACGUAGGGGGCAAGCGUUAUCCGGAUUGACUGGGUGUAAAGGGAGCGUAGGCGGGGAUGCAAGUCAGAAGUGAAAGCCCGGGGCUCAACUCCGGGACUGCUUUUGACAAUGUGUUGCUAGAUUGCAGGAGGGGUAAGUGGAAUUCCUAGUGUAGCGGUGAAAUGCGUAGAUAUUAGGAGGAACACCGGUGGCGAAGGCGGCUGACUGGAGUGUAAAUGACGCUGAGGCUCGAAAGCGUGGGGAGCAAACAGGAUUAGAUACCCGAGUAGUC
rnacentral:rRNA from 1 species